rnacentral:tRNA from 1 species
AGGAUAGGUGCCUUCCAAGCACUUGACCCGGGUUCGAAUCCCGGUUGAUGAAGAAUUUUUUUUGCAGCCGCU